rnacentral:rRNA from 1 species
UACGAAGGGGGCUAGCGUUGCUCGGAAUCACUGGGCGUAAAGGGUGCGUAGGCGGGUCUUUUAAGUCAGGGGUGAAAUCCUGGAGCUCAACUCCAGAACUGCCUUUGAUACUGAGGAUCUUGAGUUCGGGAGAGGUGAGUGGAACUGCGAGUGUAGAGGUGAAAAUUCGUAGAUAUUCGCAAGAACACCAGUGGCGAAGGCGGCUCACUGGCCCCGAUACUGACGCUGAGGCACGAAAAGCGUGGGGGAGCCAAACAGG